GCAAGUCGAGCGGACCCUUCGGGGUCAGCGGCGGACGGGUGAGUAACACGUGGGUAAUCUGCCCAACUGACUGGAAUAACGCCUGGAAACGGGUGCUAAUGCCGGAUAGGCAACUGGUAGGCAUCUACCGGUUGGGAAAGGUGCAACUGCACCGCAGAUGGAGGAGCCCGCGGCGCAUUAGCUAGUUGGUGGGGUAACGGCCCACCAAGGCGACGAUGCGUAGCCGACCUGAGAGGGUGACCGGCCACACUGGGACUGAGACACGGCCCAGACUCCUACGGGAGGCAGCAGUAGGGAAUCUUCGGCAAUGGGCGAAAGCCUGACCGAGCAACGCCGCGUGAGCGAAGAAGGCCUUCGGGUUGUAAAGCUCAGUCACCCGGGAAGAGCGGGCAGGAGAGGGAAUGCUCCUGUCGAGACGGUACCGGGAGAGGAAGCCCCGGCUAACUACGUG
rnacentral:rRNA from 1 species